GUAAAUAUUAGCUGUGAAUAGAUCCUGUGCUUCAUUUCAAGGCUAAGAACCUCCUCAAGUGUGGCUACGAGAGGAAAAGGAGGAUGGAAUAAUAUCGCAUUUAGAGGGAAGCUGAGUCCACUGAAGCUGCUUUCAGGAUUACGGGGAGUCUGUGAAUAUUUGUAGGCUGAGUCUUUCCUAAUUAUCAAAGCUGUCUGUGUUCAGAAACAGACUGUAGCUUCUAGGCAGAGUGCUUCGUCCCAGCAUCACUCAUCUGCUGUUUGUUGAACUGAAAUGAACAUCUUGUCCAAUUUUAACUCUCGAGUUUUUGGCAAUUGGCUGAAUUGGAAAGUCGAAGAUGCAUUUAGAGGAGAGGAUAUUGCCGAGCACUGCAGCUGCAAGAAUCUCUUUUUAAAACCUAAAGUCUGUUACAUAAAUUAUGCACUCUUUAAAUUCUCUUCUACGUUCAUUUACACAGUUGAU
rnacentral:lncRNA from 1 species